rnacentral:rRNA from 1 species
UACGUAGGGUGCAAGCGUUGUCCGGAAUUAUUGGGCGUAAAGAGCUCGUAGGCGGUUUGUUGCGUCGGCUGUGAAAUCCCGAGGCUCAACCUCGGGUCUGCAGUCGAUACGAGCAAACUAGAGUGUUGCAGGGGAGACUGGAAUUCCUGGUGUAGCGGUGAAAUGCGCAGAGUAUCAGGGAGGAACAGCCGGUGGCGGAAGGCGGGACGUCGUGGGCCGAUACUGACGC